AGAGUUUGAUCAUGGCUCAGAACGAACGCUGGCGGCGUGCCUAACACAUGCAAGUCGAGCGCGAAAGGGGCAACCUGAGUAGAGCGGCGCACGGGUGCGUAACACGUGGGUAAUCUGCCUUAGAGUCGAGGAUAACCUUCCGAAAGGUUGGCUAAUACUCGGUAAGCUUACGGUGUCUUCGGACGCUGUGGGAAAAGUAGGCCUCUGUUUACAAGCUUACGCUCUGAGAUGAGCCCGCGGCCCAUCAGCUAGUUGGCGGGGUAACGGCCCACCAAGGCAACGACGGGUAGCUGGUCUGAGAGGACGAUCAGCCACACUGGAACUGAGACACGGUCCAGACUCCUACGGGAGGCAGCAGUGGGGAAUUUUCCACAAUGGGCGAAAGCCUGAUGGAGCAACGCCGCGUGUGUGAUGAAGGUUUUCGGAUCGUAAAGCACUUUCGACCGGGACGAAAAACCUCUGGCUAACAUCCAGGGGCCUGACGGUACCGGGAGAAGAAGCACCGGCUAACUCUGUGCCAGCAGCCGCGGUAAUACAGAGGGUGCAAGCGUUGUUCGGAAUUAUUGGGCGUAAAGCGCGUGUAGGCGGCUUGGCAAGUCAGAUGUGAAAGCCCUCGGCUUAACCGAGGAAGUGCGUCUGAAACUGCUGAGCUUGAGUCUCGGAGAGGAUGGCGGAAUUCCGCAAGUAGAGGUGAAAUUCGUAGAUAUGC
rnacentral:rRNA from 1 species